rnacentral:rRNA from 1 species
CCCUAGUAACGGCGAGUGAAGCGGCAACAGCUCAAAUUUGAAAUCUGGCUUCGGCCCGAGUUGUAAUUUGCAGAGGAUGCUUCUGGCGCGGUGCCUUCCGAGUUCCCUGGAACGGGACGCCACAGAGGGUGAGAGCCCCGUAUGGUCGGACACCAAGCCUGUGUGAAGCUCCUUCGACGAGUCGAGUAGUUUGGGAAUGCUGCUCUAAAUGGGAGGUAAAUCUCUUCUAAAGCUAAAUACCGGCCAGAGACCGAUAGCGCACAAGUAGAGUGAUCGAAAGAUGAAAAGCACCUUGAAAAGGGGGUUAAAUAGUACGUGAAAUUGUUGAAAGGGAAGCACUUAUGACCAGACUUGGGCCGGGCGGCUCAUCAGGGGUUCUCCCCUGUGCACUCCGCCCGGCACAGGCCAGCAUCGGUUUUCGCGGGGGGAUAAGACCGUCGGGAACGUAGCACCCUCCGGGGUGUGUUAUAGCCCGGCGGACGAUACCCUCGCGGGGACCGAGGUUCGCGCUCCGCAAGGAUGCUGGCGUAAUGGUCAUCAGUGACCCGUCUUGAAACACGGACCAAGGAGUCGUCCAUUAGAGCGAGCGUUUGGGUGUAAAACCCGCACGCGUAAUGAAAGUGAACGCAGGUGAGAGCUUCGGCGCAUCAUCGACCGAUCCUGAUGUUCUCGGAAGGAUUUGAGUAAGAGUUUUAACGGACGGACCCGAAAGACAGUGAACUAUGCUUGUAUAGGGUGAAGCCAGAGGAAACUCUGGUGGAGGCUCGCAGCGGUUCUGACGUGCAAAUCGAUCGUCAAAUAUGAGCAUGGGGGCGAAAGACUAAUCGAAC